rnacentral:rRNA from 1 species
UACGGGGGGGGCUAGCGUUGUUCGGAAUUACUGGGCGUAAAGGGCGCGUAGGCGGCCUACUAAGUCGGACGUGAAAUCCCUCGGCUCAACCGGGGAACUGCGUCCGAUACUGGUGGGCUCGAAUCCGGGAGAGGGAUGUGGAAUUCCAGGUGUAGCGGUGAAAUGCGUAGAUAUCUGGAGGAACGCCGGUGGCGAAGGCGGCAUCCUGGACCGGUAUUGACGCUGAUGCGCGAAAGCCAGGGGAGCAAACGGG